AGGUGGAAGAAAAAUAAUCACUAAACCCAGCAAACAACACUCAAAUGAGACAUUACCAGUGAAUAAAGGAAUAGAGAAUAAUACUAAGAAAUAAAAUAGCCUGACAGUAAGUCCAGGAUGAGAAAACAGGAUUAUCAUGAGAGAGCUUCUCUCUGAGGGGCGAGUGCCUCCUGAGAUAAAAGCAACGUGGACAUCAGCAGUGAAGAGGAGAGUUCACGAAGGGAUGCAGAAUCCUCAGGGACUCAAACAGACACCGAGAGGAUGAAGAACCAGGAUGCACUGAAGGUGUAGGUUCGAAUUAUACAGAACUUGAUGGAGGAAAAGAUUACAAGGUCAACAGCAGUAGGAACUAGGACUGCAGACACAUGAGAGUUGAGGGCUACGGAAUGAGAGGAGGAAGAGAAGGAAGAGUGGAAAAGAGACAUGGCAUCUUGAGGGCAGAGAAGUAUGGAGACCUUUUUGGGGAAAGAUGUGACUCAAGAAUCUGCUGAAUAUUUAGUUAUAAGG